UUUAAAACUAGUUCUCUAAUAAUCAAAAUGAAAAGUCUUGCGCUGUUUGCCGCCUUGCUUGUUCUCGGUGAAUGUGCAAUUACAUACAAAGACUGCGGAUCGGUAGCUGGAAAAAUAACAGGAAUAACAGUUUCCAACUGCACCACAAGUCCAUGCCAGCUAAAGAAGGGCGGCAACUAUACUGUUAACGUCACGUUUGCAACAAAAGAAGCAUCGGACAACGCAUUCGCUUACGUUAAAGGAAUUCUGGACGGAAUUGCGGUGCCUUUUCCUUUACCAAACCCUGACGCUUGUAUGGAUCCUAACAGCCAAAUCAAAUGCCCGCUGAAGAAUAACCAAACAUAUUUAUACAGCGCCACUUUGCCAGUGAGCAAAGAAUACCCGGAUGUUAAAGUCGUGGUAAAGUGGGAACUACAAGACGCCAAGACGAACGGAAAUGAUUUGUUUUGUUUCGAAACACCAAUUGUCGUGGUUGGAUAGAACUCUGUUUUUUUUGUAUUCGUGUGUAUGGUGGACGCUCGUUUAAUUGCUAUAUGCGCCUUAUACAAACCGUAUUUAUAAUAUCUUAAUCAGCAAUAAAAUCCUUUAAACAUGUAAAAAUGUUCUCUUUUUCGAUUAUAUAAUAAUCAGCAUAAAGCAUUGUCAAACUUUCUUAUAUUCUCAAAAUGUGCCACAAAUGUUUAAAGCCUAAAUCAAAAGUAGUAACGAAGUGUUGAAAACAAACAAACAAGCAAACCAACUCGUACCAAGCUGUACUGGUGUGUAUUAACUACGUCAUCCAGCAAAUACGAAUGUAUAUGUGUAAUCAUUGCGGUUAUGUAUGCGUUGCUACCUACAGUAGAAUACCAAUAAAACGAAUCAUUUUAAAAA